UUUUAGCCCGGAUUGGACGAAAAUCCUUUUUUGUUAUUGCGAUUAUAAAAAUGUUCAACGGAUUGCUUCGUACCUCGCAAUGACAAAAAAGAUUGUAGGGAAAGCCGGACUUAAU
rnacentral:sRNA from 1 species